rnacentral:lncRNA from 1 species
UUCUGCACACGUUUAUUGGGAGAGCUUGAUUGCAGAGGCGAAGAGACCCCGAGCCCAGAACUGGUGCUGCUUAUAUAGGCCUAGGAGAGGCGUGUCUCACACCCGGAUUGGUUAUGCACUAAGCCUCAUUUGCAUGUUCCUCAUCUGAUUGGCUACUCUCUUUGUACCUCACAGAGCCUCAUUAUCAUACCUUAUUUGCAUGUCUCACAUCUGAUUGGUUAUACUCCCAAAGCCUCAUUAUCAUGCCCGAGCCAGGCAGUGUCUUUGCAAAAAACUUUACUGCAUAUGUACACAUUGGUUUUUUGUCCAAACUUAUGCAUGGUGGCCAGCAGUAGUCAGUGCCACUGUGCAAAGGCACAUGUGGCUUCCCACAGGUUAGGUGGUGGCAGCUCACACCAGGUUGUAACUGCACCUCCAGGGGAUCUGACACACUCUUCUAGGCUUCUGUCUUCUGGCCCCUUUGGUCACCUUCACUCACCUAUACACAAACCUCUUAUAAAUAUGAACAUGAGCAAAAAGUGUUGCAGGCUGGAGAGUUCGGCCAUUAUGACUGGACAUUGUUCUUGCAGAAGACCUGAGUUUGAUUCCCUGCUCCCACACCGAAUGACUUAAAACUUCUGUAACUCCAGCUCUAGGGGAUCAGACACGCUCUUCUUUCCUCUGCACACAAAUGCAUACCCAGGGAGAGACAUGCGUACAUGUAAAUAACAUUUUAAAGAAAUCCCUGAGCUUGUAGGAGUCACAUCUUAGUGAAUGAACUUGAUCUUCAGAUUCCUCUAAGUCUGAGGGGUUUUCAUUUGUUUGUUGUAUUUUUAAGAUAGGGUCUUACUAUGUAGCCCAGACUUGCCUCUAUCUCAGAGAUCUACCCACCUUUGCUCCCCAAGUGCUGGGAUUAAGGUUGGGGUUUAAGCCCUGUCAGCUUCUUGCCCUGAGUUAUAUUUACCACCCAUCUUACAAUACUGAUUUUGGACUCUUGUCAUCUGAGACAUUCAGGGACCUGAAUACCAGCCAUUCUAGUUUCAUUUCUGUUUCUGUGCUCAAAUGACUUGACCAGGAAAAAAAAAAAAAAAAAAAAAAAAAAAAAAAAAAAAACCUUAAGGGAAAAAGGAUUUAUUUUAGCUCAUAGCUCCAGGUCACAGUCAGUUACUCUGGGGCAGUCACAGGAGGAGCUGCUCACAGGCAGUUUGGGUCCCAGCUCCAUGGUGAGUGGCUCACAAUGACCUCUAACUACAGCAGACCUGAUGCCUACUCUUUAUUAAGAUUUGUAAAAAUUGUGUGUGUGUUUGUGUAUACAUGUGUGCUCAUGCAUCCUAUCAGGUACUCACAAAGGCCAUGUGUGUGAGGGCUAGGAAAAUUAAGAUACCUGUGUAAAAUGCUGUUUAUUACAGCAUUAAAAACAGAUUUCUUUAAAAAUGAUAAUCUGGGGCUAAGAAUGUGGCCCAGCAGGGAAAAUGUUUGCUGUGCAGGCUUGGAGAUUGGGGUUCAGACCCCUAGCACCCUACAUAAGAGCCCAUUGGGCAUGGCUGCUCUGCCUCUUAUCCCAGUUUGUGGGAGGUGGGAACUUAGGUUGGGUCUCCAGAGCAAUCUGGCUAGCCAGAUUAAGAUAGCUAGCUCUGGGUUUAUCAAGAGGUCCUCCUUGGUAUGUAAUGUGAAUAGAGAGAGGAAGACAUCCAAUAUCAACCUUGGGUCUCCACAUGCACACAGGUGAAAGAACACCCAGACACCACAAACAUAUGCAAAUUAACCUACUGGUAGGAAAGGAUUUUGCUGCUGUUAAAUUAUUUGAAUUUUAUUUUUACGCGCGUGUGUGUGUGUGUGUGUGUGUGUGUGUGUGUGUGUAUGUGUAUGUGUGUGCUCGCGCACAUAAAUGUUUACCAGGAUGUAAGAGUAGUGGUCAGAGGACAGUUUUCAGGAAUCAGAGUGAGUUCAAUACCCAGAACUUAUUGAUCAUUAGGCUUGGUGGCAAGCACCUCUACCUGCUGAGCUGUUUUUCUGGCCCUUGCUGUUCAAACAUGUGUGAACUAUAAAUGGCAUGGAUAUUCCUUGUGCCAUGGCUUUGAACGUGGGCUGCUGGGGAAGUGUCUUGUCAAGGUGUGCUGUUACAAUUUCAAGCUGUGUUUUUUUUCCCUCAGGGUACCUCCUGAUAUCUUUUUACUGAGACUUGUUUUUCCAGUUUGUUUUGUAAAUGAGAUAAGUAGGGGCGAGGAAGAUGGCUAAGUCAUUAAAGUAUUUGCUGUGC